rnacentral:rRNA from 1 species
CCUACGGGUGGCAGCAGUCGAGAAUCAUUCACAAUGGGGGAAACCCUGAUGGUGCGACGCCGCGUGGGGGAAUGAAGGUCUUCGGAUUGUAAACCCCUGUCAUGUGGGAGCAAAUUAAAAAGAUAGUACCACACGAGGAAGAGACGGCUAACUCUGUGCAAGCAGCCGCGGUAAUACAGAGUUCUCAAGCGUUGUUCGGAAUCACUGGGCGUAAAGCGUGCGUAGGCUGUUUCGUAAGUCGUGUGUGAAAGGCGCGGGCUCAACCCGCGGACGGCACAUGAUAGUGCGAGACUAGAGUAAUGGAGGGGGAACCGGAAUUCUCGGUGUAGCAGUGAAAUGCGUAGAUAUCGAGAGGAACACUCGUGGCGAAGGCGGGUUCCUGGACAUUAACUGACGCUGAGGCACGAAGGCCAGGGGAGCGAAAGGGAUUAGAUACCCGAGUAGUC